rnacentral:rRNA from 1 species
UCGCACCUACCGAUUGGAUGGUCCGGUGAGAAUUUCGGAUUGUGAUUACGUCGCUUUUAUUAGGGAUGUAGACACGAGAAGUUAUUCAAACCUUACCAUCUAGAGGAAGGUG